AGAAAAUCAGCGCUGCGCACACACAAAAAAAAUCCAACCUAAAUUGAAAAUAAAAUAAACAUGUAACAAUUCAUUCUGUGCUAUUUUUCAGUGUGAGUCAGUGAGUGACGGUGACUGGCUGCUGCAGCCAAUGAUGCGAUUCACAUACGUAUUUACCAUAGACUGUAUAUAAUGGUAUUUACGCAGCUAAUCAACGUCAGGCGUCCUUAUGUGCAGCCAUCGUUGUUCUCAUAGAUAUGAAUGAGUAGAUAGGACACGCCCCUUUGAGCUGAGUGCUACAGCGAGGCUAAGCUAGUGGGGGAAAAGUUUCAGUGCAUUCCGUUGAUGUAGACGGCGUGAAAACGGAAACAACAAGUAUGCCGGCUCACUGUGUUGCAUACAGUUACACACUACGUCGUACGAUUGAGACAAGGAAACUUGGAAUGACUUUUCAUAGGUUUCCCAGAGACUAUGGGUUGAGGAGGAAUUGGAAGUUUGUCGGCUUAGACCUGGUGUCAUUCCAUCAGUGUUAAACUUCCCGGCUCAUCUUGGAAGAGGACGUGCCAGAAAGAUCACGACCAAGCAGCCUUGAGAUCUUAGGCAGCGUCUCCCUGAGGUCCCUCUCUAUCUCCCCACACAUCCACCAACCACUGGAACACAUCUCCAAAGUUCUGCCGGGCCAGCUCAGCUUCCCCUCAGAAGAAGUUCCACCAGAUGAAGGAGCCUUUUGAGGGCAGCUGGCAUCGUGAUUGGACUGUACUUUGGUCUGUUCCAGUCCGGCUUCAGCUCCAGAGACGGCAGGCGGGACGAGUCAACGGAGGCCGGGUGGACGAAGGCAUGCAGCUGAGUACAAUCCAGAAAACAACAGAGGAGGAGUGCAGGGCCAGAACAAACAGAGUAGCAUCGUAUGUCGCUUAGAAAACAUCAUAGUACAGCCUUUGCUAUGAAAAAACGGCAUAAUAUACAUCGUAUAUUGUACAAAUAACAAGUCAAAGGAAAGAGACAUCAACUGUAGAAUUGUAGUAAUUGUGGGCUGACUGAUUUACUGAUUAUCAGUAUUUAAUUUUUUACUGAUUUACAGUAAUAAAUACAUUUAAAAAUGGUGCUACUUUGGCUCUGAACCUUUAUCUACCUAUGGUCGCUGUCUUCUGGAGUGAUUUGAUUGGUUAUACGUCACAAAUAAAACUCCUUUAACUUCUGUAAACAAAACAAAAAUGUAUCAACAAAGUUUACUGUUAAGUUUGUGUUCUUCUAAGUUUAACUCCAAGAUUUUAAAUACUUUCAUUUACUGCAAAUGAAUAUCUACUCCAAAUAUCUCACUAAUAAUCAUUAUCAGCCUUAAAAACCCACAAAACACCCCUCUAUACUGGACCACACUUAGUACAGUCCGGUUCCCCCUUCUAUAAAUCUGCUUGGAAUCUUCCACUUCCUGUUUGUCAAAGUGGCUUUCUACCUGGACAGGUUUUGUUGGAGCUCAUGCAACAAACAUUUUGGGUAACUGCACU